CCUGCGUGGUGUUACAGCGACCCCGUAUAUACGAAAAUUGCAUUUACCACUUAUUGCUUAGCUAAUAAAAAGUACAUAGUAUACAAUCGGUGACUCAGUAUCAUACUUAUCCUGAUACCAGAUUCGAUUGACGCAACCAUUAACAGUAGACAUAGACGAGUGUGGCACAGUGUCCUCCUAACACCUAAUGCUUCAAUAGAUGGCAACUAUCAGUGCAGAGACUGUUGAUGCCUGAGUGGGCUGUAUGGGCACUGGGCCAGCUCACUGCAGGAAGUGUGCUACUGGCUACAUACUAACUGGAGCCUAAGUGUUUAGAGGCUGCACUACUUGGAAGAAUGGACAUGGGAGGACGAAUUGGAUGGUAAAGGACCCUGGGC
ensembl:lncRNA